GACGAACGCUAGCGGCGUGCCUAAGCUAUGUAAGUCGAGCGGGGCUUGAGUUGAAUCUUCGGAUGAGGUUCAAGCCUAGCGGCGAACGGGUGAGUAACACGUGAGUAACCUGCCCCGUUGACCGGGAUAACUUCUCGAAAGGGAGGCUAAUACCGGAUAUGAAGCUCCAUCGCAUGGUGGAGCUUGGAAAGGGGAAACCCACAGCGGGAGGGGCUCGCGGCCUAUCAGCUAGUUGGUGAGGUAACGGCCCACCAAGGCGACGACGGGUAGCCGGCCUGAGAGGGUGUUCGGCCACACUGGGACUGAGACACGGCCCAGACUUCUACGGAAGGCAGCAAGCGGGAAUAUUGCACAACGGGCGAAAGCCUGGUGCAGCGACGCCGCGUGAGGGAUGACGGCCUUCGGGUUGUAAACCUCUGUUGGUGGGAACGAAAACUGACGGUAC
rnacentral:rRNA from 1 species